GGCAGAGAUGAAGUGUGCAUGGCUCCAGCAGCACGGACUCCUCUCAUUAAGGCUGAUCUAGCUACUGUUGCUGCCCCAUGUCUAACUUGCCAGCAACGGAGACCAAAGUUGAGCCCCGGAAUCAGCACCAUUCCUCAUAGAGACCAGCUAGUCACUGGGUGGAAGAGGGACCAAGCAAAACCCCAGAAGAGUUGAUCUCAAAGCUUAUUUUAUGAAGAAAAUUGACCUGAGUGACACAAAGGGUUGGACUGUAGUAGAUGUCACGUUUUGCUGCCUAGAUCUCCAUCCAGGGAUGAACUCUUAUUUCCUCAGCUUCUUUGUCUCCUCAGCUUCUGGGAGGGUUGGCAGCUGAUAUUCUCACCUGAGUCCCUUUCUAGGACUUGCCCUUGCCUGAAGAGAGCUGUGCUGCCCAACAUGAUGCCUCCUCCAAGGUACAAUCCACACCCAGUGACUAAUAAACAGGGGUUACAAAGGCAUGCCUGCUUGCCCCAGUUUGGGACAACUUUACCAGGCCAACCCAGCCUCAAGGCUCUCCACAGGAACAGGGACCCUGAAAGCUGUGUCUAUGAAGUUAUUACAAGAUAUUGGCUACUGUGGUGCAUGGAGCUUCUAGGCCAGGGUGAUUCUCACACCUGCCUGAUGUGGAUCUUGUUGCUUCACACCUGAAACAUCAUUUGAGAAGCCCGGGAAGUGGUGUGGCUGCUGCAUGGCUGCUCCAAGAACUACUCCCAUGGGAGAGGAGCUCCCAACAGUGCCUUGCCAUCAAGCUUUGAUUUCUACCUUACAUACCUCUGAAUAAACUGUUGCCAAUGAGGCUGAUGGAAGUCUUGUGAGUUUGAAUGCCAGGUUGAACUUAAGAGGAUUCCCUGGUGAGCAUUGCAAGAUGGUAUACUCAAUGUUAUUAAUUUGUGGGGAGUUUAAUAAAAGUAUUGUUUAUAUUGAUGUGGGAAGGGUAUAGGGAAAUUACAAGGUAUGGUGCAGUGUCCCAAGAAUAGUAACAUGGGGCACUGAAAAGAUAGAGAAAGGAAAAGAAUGAGUGACCAGAACCUGGUGACAGAGCCACAGGGGAGGGCUGUCUGGCUGGAGCUGUGACUUACCAUUGAAGGACUCAGGAAGUUCUUUUUUUUCUUUAGACAGGGUCUCGCUCCGUCAUCUAGGCUGUCAUGCAGUGGUGUGAUCAUGACUCACUGCACCCUCAGCACACACCACCAUACUGGGCUAAUUUCUGUAUUUUUAUAGACAGGUUCUCACCAGGUUGCCCAGUCUGAUCUCAAAAUCCUGGGCUCAAGCAAUCUUCCUGCCUUGGCCUCCCAAAGUGCUGGGAUUAUAGGCAUAAGCCACUGCACCCAGCCCUCAGGCAGUUUUUAUUAAUUCUGCAGGAAGGGAGCUGGGAGAAUAAAAAUCCCGACCUCAUUUUCUUUCCUUCUUUUGUUCUCUUGCUUGAGCUUCCCAUGGAUGAACUGGAAGAAUUCAGAAAUUGAAUGAUAUAAAUAACAAAGUUAAAUUAAUAGACAUGUAUUGAACUUAGUUUUUAGAGUAUGUAUAAUUUUCCCAAUUUUCUGUGGAAUUAUUGCAAAAUUUGAUCACAAACUAUAAGGCUACAAUUUAAAAAUAUAACAAAUUCCUAACUGUAAAAAUUUUCUAGGUUAAAUUCUUUGAUCACAAAGCAGGCAAGAAAUGAAUGGUGGAACAAACUAAAAUACUAGCUCCAUGAAUGAAAAGACCUACAUGGAUAUGAGAGUAAUUAAGAAGGAGUUAGCAGCGAUGGGACUUUGUGAUUGACUGGAUAUAGACAAUGAGGAAUAUAGUGAAGGAAAGAUGAUUUCCUGAUUUCUGGCAUGGGCAGCUGAGUAGAUGGUUAUGCUAUAAACUAAGAAAAGAGAGAAGGAUAGGAAGAGAUGGGCCUGGAAGAGUAUGGAGUUUGAGAUGAGAAGAGAAAAUGGAAACUCUGAGGAGCACAGAAAAUUAAGGCCCAAGUGAAGAAAGAUGAGCUUGCAGGGAAGACUGGGUGAUGACAAGCGGUGUAGGAGAGAAUCCGGGUACUCUGUUUUGCUGAAAUGAGAAAGACGGACAUACAGAUGCAUAUAAAGGCAUAUAGAGGCAGAUAUAUUUAUAUUUGAGGAAGUCUGGACAUUGAGUAAGUUAGUGCUGAUAACUUCUAGUUUCUUAGUUAAGAAAGAGAUGAGGUUAUCUAUACGGAGUAAGGAGGAACGUGGUGGUGCCGUUGCUACUACGGUGUAAUACGUCACUACUAUUACUAUUAAUUAUGGUGUAAUACCUAAAACGUAGUGGCUUGAAAUAACAAUAAUUAUCUUUUAUCUCUCACAGUUUCUCUGGGUCAGAAAUUUGAGGAUAAGGUGGUGAAUGAUUCUGGCUCAAGGUCUCCCAUAUUGUUGUGAUCAGUGGCUGGAGCCAGAACAGCAGAGGGCUUAGAGAAUCUAGGGAUUGGUCAGAUGUCGCUUUCGUUUUAUCUGGCUUUGAGACCUCUCCAAUGUGAGCUAAUUUAGGCUUCCUCAUAGCGUGGUAACCUCAAGGUAUGUGAACCGUGUAGCGGUUGACGCUUCCAAGAACAAGUAUUCUAGCAGGCAAGGUUCAUCUUUUAUGCUUUAGGCAUGGAAAUUACAUAGCGUCACUUUCCCUAAAAUGAGAAAGGAUAUAGCAUGUUUGGACAGUACGAACCAGUAUCACCUAAUUGACAUUAAUAGACCAUCCUAUCCAGCAAUGGCAGAAUACAUAUUUCAAGUGUAGAUGGAACAUUCACCAAGGCAGAUCAUAUUCUGGGCCAUGUACAAAAAAAACUGAGAAAUUUAAAAGGAUUAAAAUUACAGAAAGCAUGCUCUCUGACCACAGUGGAAUUAAGCUAGAAAUAGAAAACAAAAAAUUAUAUAGAAAAUCCCCAAAUAUUUGGAAAUUUUUUAUUUUUGAUUUUUUAAAAUUGUGUUUUUUAACCAAUGAAAAAUAAUUGUAUUAUCUGUGGAGUACAUAGUGUUGUUUCAAUACAUAUAAAGUAUAGUGAUCAGAUCAUGGAUAUUAGCAUAUCAGUCAUUCCAGACAUCUAUAAUUUUUGUGUAGGGAACCUUCAAUAUUAUCUUCCAGCUAUUUGAAACUACAUAAUAUAUUAUGGUUAAUUACAGUUUUUCUAUUGUGGUAUAGAAAUUAGAUAAUAUACUCUUUUAAAGUCCAUGGGACACAAUGAAAAAUAAUUAGAAAAAUUAGAACAUACUUUGAACUGAUUGAAAAUUAAAACACAACAUAUCAAAAUUUGUGAGAUGCAGCUAAAGCAGUACCUACUGAAAAAUGUAUGGGAUUAGAUACUUAAAAAGUAGAUGUUAAACCAAUGUCCUAAGCUUCUGCCUCAAGAAACUUAAAAAAAGAGCAAGCAAAGUAAAUCCAAAACAAGUAAGGGAACAAUAAAGAUAAGAUUAGAAAUCAA
rnacentral:lncRNA from 1 species